UCGUCGGUAUAUGGUUAUAAACACUCGGCGAAAUACUGAACAUUCACCGAUAUUGCACACGGGAUUACAGCGUACGAAGUGAAGGCUAAUUCAUCAUGAUCCGUCGAAACAUCAUUCAGAUGACCUUUGUAAUCAUUGUUGUUCUUCUCGCGUCGCUGAAUACAGCUGAGGCAGGAAGGCUUAAGAAUCUUGCAAGGGCCGCGCUACUCGGAGCCGCUAUCGCUCCACGAUUCGUGCCUGUACCUAUCCCACAUCAUGUAUACCCUAAGCAAGAUGACGGCUGGAAUCACGGUUGGGAACAGCACGACCAAGAACACUCUCAAAGAUGGGACCACUAUGACAACGGAUGGAAUUAAAUUUGAAAGAAUUACAUUGCGCUUCCGGAGAUUCUCAACAGGUUUGUGUGUACCCUCGAAACAAGGCUGCGAUCAUAUUUGAGCACCGGCUACUGAGCAAAAUUACUGGGAAUCGGGAUUCAACUCAACUGAUUGGCAUUCACACGAUUGCUCUUAUUUUCCAACUAAAGACGUAUACCUGUCGAGGUGUACAGGGAAACAAUCCAGCUGACAGCAUGUGUAUAAUAUCUCCAACGAAAACGGACUGUGUAUCAAGGUCAUAGAAGAUAUUCAACGUUUGCGAGCCCUAAUUGCAACACAAUCAUCGUACGGCCGUAAUAAGGCAUAGCUCAUUUAUUCCCGCCCACACAACUACUGGUCACGAUCCACUGAGCACCCCAGGAGAUCCCGUAGGCUUGAUACCCAUUUCAAUGAAACGAUAACCAUUGUCGUUCAUCUUGUAUAUAUAUUUGUUUAGAGUCUGUCACCUUAAUUUCGUGUUGACGUGCCAUGUUUAUAUCACCUUCUAUUGUGUAUGUCGUGGGAAAAAAAGGCUUUUGUAAAUAUUUAUUAAAUGUUUGUGCCAAUUGCGUAUCGUUCGGGGAAAUGAAACCAGAACAAUGUGAAUGAUUUUGUCACGUUUUAUACGAUAUGAACAUAGCUUGUAUUUAUCGUAUGUGCUUGUAUGUGUGUUUCGUAUAUAAAUGUAUAUAUGUGUAUAGGUUUUCCACAAACUGUGUCUUCGCACGAUGGGAUACUAAUGAGAGGUAACCAAAUCGGUUGAAUGUUAAGUCCCUAUUGUUCAAAAAAUGGCAGUGGUUCAGGAAGACAAUAACAUGUGUUUGUAUAUAAAUGCUUGUAAAAAAACGUCGCAGAAUGUUGCCAAUAAACGUACACGUUAAAUCGAACAAACAAUAUGAUAU